rnacentral:rRNA from 1 species
AGGGCGGCAGACUAACACAUGCAAGUCGAGCGAGAUCUUCGGAUCUAGCGGCGGACGGGUGAGUAACGCGUGGGAACGUACCCUCUUCUGCGGGAUAGCCACUGGAAACGGUGAGUAAUACCGCAUACGCCCUUCGGGGGAAAGAUUUAUCGGAGGAGGAUCGGCCCGCGUUGGAUUAGGUAGUUGGUGGGGUAAUGGCCUACCAAGCCUACGAUCCAUAGCUGGUUUUAGAGGAUGAUCAGCCACACUGGGACUGAGACACGGCCCAGACUCCUACGGGAGGCAGCAGUGGGGAAUCUUAGACAAUGGGCGCAAGCCUGAUCUAGCCAUGCCGCGUGAGUGACGAAGGCCUUAGGGUCGUAAAGCUCUUUCGCCUGUGAUGAUAAUGACAGUAGCAGGUAAAGAAACCCCGGCUAACUCCGUGCCAGCAGCCGCGGUAAUACGGAGGGGGUUAGCGUUGUUCGGAAUUACUGGGCGUAAAGCGCACGUAGGCGGAUUGGAAAGUAUGGGGUGAAAUCCCAGGGCUCAACCCUGGAACGGCCUCAUAAACUUCCAGUCUGGAGUUCGAGAGAGGUGAGUGGAAUUCCGAGUGUAGAGGUGAAAUUCGUAGAUAUUCGGAGGAACACCAGUGGCGAAGGCGGCUCACUGGCUCGAUACUGACGCUGAGGUGCGAAAGUGUGGGGAGCAAACAGGAUUAGAUACCCUGGUAG